rnacentral:lncRNA from 1 species
GUCCUUCCUACUUAACCGAAUUUAACUCAUACAUCAGGCAACAACACCCUAAGUAUAAGUUCCAUACUUUAGCCUAUACCAAACAAUUAACAAAAAUUAGGCUCACGUUUCCAAGAUAAUUAAAUUCAAGACUACAGAUAGAAAUCAUUUAUAGCUUUCUAACCCACUACGCUAAUUAGUUCAUACAGUACACUAGACAAACAACAAUAUCACAUAUGACUAGACUGACCACAUCAGAUACGAAGAACCAAUUUAAUUAUACGUUGCACAACUAAUAUGUUUAACUAAAUUCAUCCGACCAAAAGCAGAAGUAACAAAUUGGCUACUAUUACCUAAAUCUGACUUGAAACCGCGAGAUUGACAAUGAUGCCCAGUUCGAGCCUUUCAUUGCGCCACAGGUGGACAACGAAUAGGGACCUUCACGCAAACACACACACAUACAUAAAUCCACAGCUAGCCACAUCGGCGUCUGAUAAGAAAUUAAACAGAGCGAGGACUGCAAGUAUCACCAGUGGGGACGCAAGACGCGACAAGGCCGUUGGAAUAAUGACAGUUCCGAGGGUCAGGCGUUUCAUCGAACAUCUGGCGGCUGAAGCGAGGACGACAUCGAAUCCCAAGAGACGGACAGUGCGUCGACGGCCGAGUCUCACAUUUAGCCGGACAAGUGGCACACGAGGCGCGACGGGAAGGAGUUUGACGCGUCAAGUCUAAAGAAAGCGCGACAUCAACGAUGCUGCAAGCAGUGCUUGAAGUCGAAAAUGCACGACAAAGGAGACGGGGACAGCCACUGUACAACACCAUGGAACUUGGUGCGGCCAUAGCAUGGCACACAAAAAUAGCAGUGCCCGACCACCAUGGCCAACCCCGGCCAGCCUUCCCGUGCGGCCAUGGCACGACGAGAACCUAAAUGAGUGGACAAGGAUGAUGAUGACGCCACGCACGACGUUCGAUGGUAGGAUCGACAACGAUACAAGAUGGUGGCGUAAAGAGCUGCAGGGCUAGCGAGCUGAAGCAAGUGACGGAGACAGCCGCGUCCGAUAGCAAGCCCGUAGCGACGCACGACAGUGGGGAGCUCGGCACGAUGGGGAGCAGCGACCAUCGGCGUGAGGAGAGCCAGGAAAACGACACGCAUACAAAACGAUCCUGGGCGCGACGGGAAUGAUGGAAACGUGCAGCAUGGACAGAAGGAACUCGGCACCAUUGCUGGCCGAGGCGAGUGCGCUUGGACAUGGACACCGAGGCGAAGAGAGGAAAACCAAAAGGUGAUCGGGGAUGUGACGGCCGGACAUCAAGUGCUCCCCGGAUUUGGGCGAGCGAUGCUGGCUGCUUCAUUCCCCCGUUCGUCGUGCCAGAACUCCAGAUGCUCUGUGCGGGCGCGAACGCAUACCGGCCAUGAGCAGUGCAGGCAAGCACGGCCGGUGGAGAGUUGGGUCUAGAGGGAGAAGAUAAGGUGUGCGCCGUAGAAGAGACCGAUGGCACCAGAGGCCCUGGUGAUCUCCCCAUGGUGAUGCAGGGGUACAUGUACCUGAGCCCCAUCCCACCGUACACCAUGACUGAAGCUCGGAAGUCAGGGAGAGGGACGCGGCAGAGGGGGUUCAGGCGAGGUCGACGGUGCGGCUUCCAUGGUCGAGCAGGGAGGAGCGCGGCGUGCUUGAGGGAGGCGAGCUGAGGGGGGGCGGCCAUGGCAGGGAAGAGCGCCGGCACGAAGAGAUCUGAGCUGGGCGAGCACGGUAGUAAGAUGGGCGUGCGGCCAACCUGGAGAGCAGGGGCGCGACGAGUUUGGGGAUUGGGCAGAGCGCCGGUCGAGGGAGAGAGUGUUGGGAGGCCUCGGCACAGGGGCUGGGCGCCGUGGGAGCUUGGCAAGGAGGAGAAGAAAAACUGGGUGCGCUGCGCGUGGCCGGAGGAGAAGCGGCUGGGGAAGAUAAGGACGUGAACGGCUUCAGGAAAUAUCCCGGUCAGCGCGAGCAGAAAAAUCUGAGAGGGGCGGUGAGCCGGUGACAGCAGAUGGAGACGGCUGGGAUUUUUCUGAGGUGCUUGAGCGGCGCGGCCAAAAAAAUCUGAGAGAGCGAGAGCAACUGGAAAAAUUCAAGGGUAGAGAGAGAACAGCGGGAGGGAGAAAAUAUUUUCAUUUCUUUUAUUUUUGCACUCACGAGUUUAAAUACAAACGUAAAUAUUAGCGGGGGUUAAGGCUAGAAUUCGGAAAGUUAUAAGGGAAUUAAGGGCCUGUUUAGUUUGUGGCUAAAUGUGUUACACUUUGCCUAAGGUUAGUCGUUCGAAUUGAAUAACUAACCUUAGGCAGAAAAGUUAGGCAAAAUGUGGCAACUGAGGUAGUGAACCAAACAGGCCCUAAAUUAAAAUGGUUUUGGUCACCAUAUUUUAAUCGGUGUUAGAGUAAUUGAAAUCAGACAAACUUCGUCUGGUUUUCCUUGGAUUCCGAGUGUGAUCCGAUUAAAUUUUACAUUAAACUUUUGUCGUUGAGUUCAAAUAAAUUCGUUUGGAGAUAAAAUCAUCAGAGUGGGUCGGGCCUCCGAGUUCGUAUUCGCGCGAGUGAUGAUUUUAAAUAAUCACCGGACACACCGAUUUUUGGAACAACGAUGUUCCAAACAUCACGAAAGUUUAGGAUGAGCCCGGAUAGAUAAAGACGAUGCCGAACUCGCGACAGACGAAACAGAUGUGAUAUUAAAAUCGCGAUAGACAAAGAUGAUUAAAAUUUAGCAUCCGUUUUAUCCACUGAUAUUACGUGCUUAAAUCCAUACUCGUUGUCGAGCAGAAUAUAAACACCAGGGGUGUUACAACCCUCCACCUUAAAAGAAUCUCAUCCCGAGAUUCGGAGCGAAAGACUUUUAAAAGUAGAGAAGCAUGUAACCCAUGUCCAUAUUAGCGAUAACCAUAAGACAACUCCAAGCAAAGACGAGUGCCUCAGGAUGGGGUUUCUUUAGUGAACAUAAAAUAUAUCGCCUUAAGCUAAUUUUAGAGAUGUCUACCAAUGGAGACGAUGUCUGCCAGAAGAACACAUAAGGUCCCAUGUGUGCAGUUUGCUUUUUCUGAUGACACUGUACUAUCUAAGUCUGUUGAGAGAGCGGCAAAUACGCGAUUUUACCCAAACAGAAUCAGAUGCAACCUCUUGGGUAAAACAUACAGAAAGAGGUUUACCAACAAGUGGUCACUGGAAAUUCAUAGCACAUAAGACGUGUGUGAAUGUCGUAUAACAUCACAGUUAGCUCGUGUUAGCCAGAGAAUCCAAGUCCAAGAAAAAUGAUAAAGACUUGAAAAAUCACCAGCGAAGGAAUCUGUAGAUGCAGACUUUGUGUCUAAUCCAUGUUAUCAAGCACUAGGCAUGGCUCGACUUGAUCUCACAUGCUGGAAAAGCACACGUGAGGCGAUCGAGGUAUGGCUAGAACGAUAAUUAGGGGAUCAUUAGCGACUUAAUCUUGAUUCUUAUAAGUACUUCCUUUAAAGGGGUUAUACAAAAGUGAGUUUAGACAACUCGAUAAAACGAUCUCUAAACUCAACCUUUGUUCAUUGGGCAGUUACAAGUUAGUAAAACCAACUUGUUGAACUACUUUUGACAUUGAGCAGGUCCUCUCAGUACCAUCGGUAAGCCAAGGGUUGAGAGUUCACAUUUGCUAAUAGGAGAUCAUGUAUUUGGGUAGAAAUUCAUUUGGUCAGGUUGUUCUUCCGUUUCUUCAUGCGAGAUGAAUUAUCCACUUGGUUAAGGAAUAUAGGGAUUAAUAAGAGAGUGAAUGAACAAACUCCUGCAUCUUAGCAGCAGGGGAAACAAAUCUCCACUUUGAGAGCUAAUCAGUUGUCUCUCAACACUAAAAAGCUCCAAGGCUUCACCUUUACACAAAGGAUGUAAAGGGAACUUCUAUAAGUAGUCACUACCAAGAUCAAAAAAAGAGACCACACCUAAAAGUGGUAUGCCCCUUUUGAUCCAACUGAGAUGAUGGACGUUGCUUGAUCACUUGACAAACAACAUAGAAAUUGUUUCAAGGAAGAGAUCUACGGGAGAUAACACAUCAGUGUAGUUCCACAAUGGAUCAUGACCAGAGACCUUGGUACUGGCAUGCGCCAAGCAGCAAAAUCCUGUGUGCGCAUUCACAGGAGGCCCUCAGUUUUGCCGCGGUACCAUAAGUCCUUAACCAUGACACCAUUACAAAACUGGCACCAAUAAUGAAUCUCACGUGGUAAGAACAAUUCGUGCAGAGAUAACAUAUUGAUAUAAUCUCAUAAUGGAUUAUGACUACCAACUAUGAUACUAGUGUGUGCCGAGCAGCACAACCGUGUGUGCGCACACACAGAAGGCCCCCGAUUUCGUCACGGUAUCAUCAAUUUUAGUCAUAACGCCAAUACCAGACAUAACCAAUAAGAAAUCUCGCGCGGCACCAAUAGACUAGGCAAGGAUGGCAAUAUACGAAAAGACUCUACCUAUCAAAACGGUUACAAGUAGAGAGUCAAAUAGAUCAUGGCCCGAUGAAACGAACAAGGUAUGGCCAUAACUAGACUUGUUAAUGAAAGGAGUACGAUGGGAGACUGUUAAUUCAGCCCCGAGCAUAUUUCUAUGCCCAUCACAGAGAUCACAAGGUCAAGGAUCAGUAUCUGCUUAGAUACGGAGGGAAAACAAUCAUAAGAUGAAGUUGGUAUGCCUUCAACAGAUAUGGGGAACCAAAGACAUCAAAUUCAAGAAAUGAUGAGACAUGUCUUUCCUAGAUUAGGUUGAUAAAGCAACAUGGCGAUCCUUAAGAACAGACAAACUGGAUUAGAGACAUCAACUUACGCCAAUCGAAUAAGGACGUGAUCUAGGAUGGAAAUAUGACUCAAGAUUCUCAUUUUAAGCCCGAGUACACUUUAGGUUCAGCAAAGAAAUUACCUAAGCAUUUAUUUGCAUGAGUUUGGUCAUGGAGUGAUAAUGGAAAAUUCAAAUUUGGAUCAUGGUUCACCAACUAAGAACAUGGCCUAAUUUUCGGUUUAGGCAAACAAAUUACCAACCUUCUAUCGGCACAUCGGGUACCAGACCAAACACAUAUAACAUCUAAAUAUAUUACCUAAAGAACAGAGGACAGCUAUUUCAUCGAAGUUCACAAUACAACAUUACACCACAUUAUCUACAAUCACCGGUUAUUAGAAUAAAGGUGAGAGAAGCAUUUUAGGUGUAUAGGUGACAAACAUGAUGCAACAAUCAGGAUGCAUGCUCGUCUUAUUCGUCCUCACUGAUUUUGCCAACAUAAUGUGGCCAUAGUGUUCUAUAUCGGUGGCAUACGUUCUCUCUCAGUAUUUUGCUAAUCGUCAGCUACACAUACGUUUUCGAAGUUAGUGUACCUGCAGAAAAAUCCAUCACAACCCAUUUUCCAAUGAUGCAGUUCACACAUGAUAGUUUAUCAUAGUUUAUACUCCAUAUAUUGCUAUAUGGAGGCCAGCUCAUCAUUAAGCGCCGAGCCACGCAUAGGCGCCGUUGCCACACUUUAACCAUAGGGCAACUCAUUAUGGUAACUCACCUUCUUACCUGAGCGUAGGUGCGUCAUUGCGAGUACAUUACACUUCUCAGUAUUCCCAUGUUUGUAUACCCAUACACAUCCAUGGGGUACUGAAUUCCCAGAAAAUUAAAUACUCCACAUCGCAGCCUUCAUAUAUACAUAUGUGGAACAUGUAUAUAAUCAAGCACCACAAUUAAGCACUCCCAUAGACCGACGUUUGUUCGGUCAUGCUCGCACAUCUCACCUUACCUUGAGCGUCGAUUCAUUCACAAUCAAAUGGCCUCAAAAAUAAAAAUACACAUGUAUGCAAUACCCCCGGUUGUGGGUUAGUGGUUUUUAACUAAGCCACCUAAUAGUCCUUAGUUUAGGGCUUAACAGAGGAUGUCGCUAGCAUUAUAGUUUUUCAAAGCCAAACAAUGUGUUUACUUGAAAAUAGGUUUUCUAAAACCAAAACUUUGUUUUUAAAAUACGUAUGUGACCGUAUUAUACUUAAUCCUGCUCCGAUACCAGCUGUGGCAGAACCUCCCAAGUUAUUGGGCCCACAUGCACCUGCCCUUAUCUCAAAGACCUCAGACGGCUAUGCAUGUGCACCAGAUAACUUAACAGGAUCUGUCCAAGUGCCCCAAGGACCUCGGAUAAACCACUUACAACUAGAACCGCAGGAUUAAGUAAACACAAAUCACACACCAACAAUUUGCAGCGGAAAUCUUAUUACCAAAUUUUACAAGUUACAUGAAGUUUACAUUGUACAUGAUCAGAGUGAUUAAAAAAUUGGUUCAAAGCAUAAACUUUGAAAUGUUAUAAAUUAUUUGUAGUUUUGAAAUAUAUGCUAGCUCAAGUGACCAUCCUCAAUAAGAAGUAUAGAAGAGGUACUUAGACUUAUAAGAAGGCCGAGCCCACCAGCACUUAGCACCAUCCACAGCAACACACUUCUAUUUCGGUUCUUCCUCCUGCUGGGGAACCACCUUUGCACAAAAGUAGCAAAGCUCCGCAGGCUCUUCACCUAAAACAACAUGGGACAAAGCCCUGAGUACGAAGUGUACUUUCGCAAGUCUUACCCGACUAAGGAAAAAGACUCUCAAGGAUAUGCUAGAUUUAGGAAUCAAGGAGAGGAUUUUAGAAAGAAUCAACUUAGAUACUUUUGCAGAAAUAGUUUACUAAAGUGAGUCCUUACUUUCAAUAUCUUAACGCCAGAUUAAAUAUUAAUAGACUCUGGUUGCACCUAGUCUAAUUUCACCAUCUCAUCAAUACAACAUCAUUUUUAUGCAUAAUGUUUACAUCCUGACCAAGGUUGCAUGUCAGUGAUCAAGUCUCGACUAUCCAGGGAUAUAACAGCGAUCCGAAUUGAUUUACUCAGCUGAGGAUCUCUAACCACACGACAUAUGUAGCACUUAACCCUUGCAUAUGUCAACCGUUCCCACAGAUCCUCCACAACGCGAACCGGUCCGCGCUACCCGGGAGCACAGUACUCCUCCAUCCAGCCUCUAGCCAGGAGGGUACACGCUACUCCCACCAUCUCCCACGCCCAGUGCGCGGUUGUCUUUUCACGUAUGGAAUAGCCGGGUUCAAGCUUACCUUGUCCCAUAUCCAGGGCAUGUGGCCAGUUAAGAUAGUUCUUGAUCAUACAGGCCUACAUACACAUCCAAUCCUUAAUUAACCUGGGUGGAGCAUCACGUGUUCCUAGCCCAAGUCUCGAGUUAAGUACUUCCACCCUUAGGAUUUUUUUGUGUUCCUAAGGAUGAAAAGAGCAUUAUAGGGAACUUUGCAGUAAGAUCCCACCAUGCUCCCAAUGCAAAUAUUCUUGCAGGUAGAAGUCAUCCUUCCUCAGGAUAAACCUGAGCUAGGCAUAAGUGCAAAGGACAAACUCUAUCUGCUUAUAAGGAGGGCUAAGCAUUUUUUUGUAAAUCAUAUUUUGAUACUUCACCAGAAGUAUCUAUAAAAGGAAUGUAUUUCCAGGUAGCCAAUGCAUCAAAGGGUUUCCAAGCAACUCCUAUAAACCUAAUGCACAUUCAGUAGACUUAAAGUUUGUAAAAAUAAUUUAAAAACACAAGGAAGGGGUUGCAUGCAUCGGGGCUUGCCUGGGAUAAACACUAGGUUAGUGUUGUUAGACGACGUCUGCUUGACGACCAUCUUUUGUCUUGACAUUCGUCAGAUUAUCCAUCUUCAGGUUCGACUGACAACGUCGUCUUGCGGAGAUGUUCACUCUCUGCAUUAUCCUGGGGUCGUCUUCCGCAUCACGUGAUCAACAAACGUACCUAAAUGAUUUGCAUAAUGCACAUGAAUGCAUAUAAACAAGAAUAGUACGAGAUUAAAUAUUACUACAUGUCCACGAAUUAAACAUUUCGCAGAGAGGCGUUGUACUAUUUCAUACGGAAACACUAGUUAUCGACAUACGACUAAGCGCAAUAAUCACAAAAUAAUAAAAUAUACAUACUAACUACAGCACUCACGUCCUUCCUACUUAACCGAAUUUAACUCAUACAUUAGGCAAUAACACCCUAAGUAUAAGUUCCAUACUUUCCCUAAGCUAUAGCCUAUACCAAACAAUUAACGAAAAUUAGGCUCACGUUUCCAAGAUAAUUAAAUUCAAGACUACAGAUAGAAAUCAUUUAUAGCUUUCUAACCCACUACACUAAUUAGUUCAUACAGUACACUAGACAAACAACAGUAUCACGUAUGACUAGACUGACCACAUCAGAUACGAAGAACCAAUUUAAUUAUACCCUGCACAACUAAUAUGUUUAACUAAAUUCAUCCGACCAAAAGCGGAAGUAACGAAUUGGCUACUAUUACCUAAAUCUGACAUAAAACCGCGAGAUUGACAAUGAUGCCCAGUUCGAGCCUUUCAUUGCGCCACAGGUGGACAACGAAUAGGGACCUUCACGCAAACACACAUACAUACAUAAAUCC